rnacentral:rRNA from 1 species
GGUUAAGCGACUAAGCGUACACGGUGGAUGCCCUGGCAGUCAGAGGCGAUGAAGGACGUGCUAAUCUGCGAUAAGCGUCGGUGAGGUGAUAUGAACCGUUAUAACCGGCGAUUUCCGAAUGGGGAAACCCAGUGUGUUUCGACACACUAUCAUUAACUGAAUCCAUAGGUUAAUGAGGCGAACCGGGGGAACUGAAACAUCUAAGUACCCCGAGGAAAAGAAAUCAACCGAGAUUCCCCCAGUAGCGGCGAGCGAACGGGGAGGAGCCCAGAGCCUGAAUCAGUGUGUGUGUUAGUGGAAGCGUCUGGAAAGGCGCGCGAUACAGGGUGACAGCCCCGUACACAAAAAUGCACAUAUUGUGAGCUCGAUGAGUAGGGCGGGACACGUGGUAUCCUGUCUGAAUAUGGGGGGACCAUCCUCCAAGGCUAAAUACUCCUGACUGACCGAUAGUGAACCAGUACCGUGAGGGAAAGGCGAAAAGAACCCCGGCGAGGGGAGUGAAAAAGAACCUGAAACCGUGUACGUACAAGCAGUGGGAGCCUCUUAAUGGGGUGACUGCGUACCUUUUGUAUAAUGGGUCAGCGACUUAUAUUCUGUAGCAAGGUUAACCGAAUAGGGGAGCCGAAGGGAAACCGAGUCUUAACUGGGCGUUAAGUUGCAGGGUAUAGACCCGAAACCCGGUGAUCUAGCCAUGGGCAGGUUGAAGGUUGGGUAACACUAACUGGAGGACCGAACCGACUAAUGUUGAAAAAUUAGCGGAUGACUUGUGGCUGGGGGUGAAAGGCCAAUCAAACCGGGAGAUAGCUGGUUCUCCCCGAAAGCUAUUUAGGUAGCGCCUCGUGAAUUCAUCUCCGGGGGUAGAGCACUGUUUCGGCAAGGGGGUCAUCCCGACUUACCAACCCGAUGCAAACUGCGAAUACCGGAGAAUGUUAUCACGGGAGACACACGGCGGGUGCUAACGUCCGUCGUGAAGAGGGAAACAACCCAGACCGCCAGCUAAGGUCCCAAAGUCAUGGUUAAGUGGGAAACGAUGUGGGAAGGCCCAGACAGCCAGGAUGUUGGCUUAGAAGCAGCCAUCAUUUAAAGAAAGCGUAAUAGCUCACUGGUCGAGUCGGCCUGCGCGGAAGAUGUAACGGGGCUAAACCAUGCACCGAAGCUGCGGCAGCGACACUAUGUGUUGUUGGGUAGGGGAGCGUUCUGUAAGCCUGUGAAGGUGGCCUGUGAGGGUUGCUGGAGGUAUCAGAAGUGCGAAUGCUGACAUAAGUAACGAUAAAGCGGGUGAAAAGCCCGCUCGCCGGAAGACCAAGGGUUCCUGUCCAACGUUAAUCGGGGCAGGGUGAGUCGACCCCUAAGGCGAGGCCGAAAGGCGUAGUCGAUGGGAAACAGGUUAAUAUUCCUGUACUUGGUGUUACUGCGAAGGGGGGACGGAGAAGGCUAUGUUGGCCGGGCGACGGUUGUCCCGGUUUAAGCGUGUAGGCUGGUUUUCCAGGCAAAUCCGGAAAACCAAGGCUGAGGCGUGAUGACGAGGCACUACG